GUCUUCGUGGCGUAGUGGUCAGCUCGCUUGAAUAGUAUUUGAGAGGUCCGUGGUUCAAGUCCCGGCGAGGGCA
rnacentral:tRNA from 1 species